GGGUUGGGCUGUUCGCCCAUUAAAGCGGUACGCGAGCUGGGUUUAGAACGUCGUGAGACAGUUCGGUCCCUAUCCGCUGUGCGCGUAGGAAUAUUGAGAAGGGCUGUCCCUAGUACGAGAGGACCGGGACGGACGAACCUCUGGUGUGCCAGUUGUUCUGCCAAGGGCAUGGCUGGUUGGCUACGUUCGGGAGGGAUAACCGCUGAAAGCAUCUAAGCGGGAAGCCUGCUUCGAGAUGAGUGUUCCCACCUCCUUUGAGAGGGUAAGGCUCCCAGUAGACGACUGGGUUGAUAGGCCGGAUAUGGAAGCCCUGUGAGGGGUGGAGUUGACCGGUACUAAUAGGCCGAGGGCUUGUCCUCAGUUG
rnacentral:rRNA from 1 species